rnacentral:lncRNA from 1 species
CAUAGCUCUGAGAAGGGAGGGGAGAGCGAGAGGAGAGAGGGAGAGGGACGGCCAGCGAGGGGGGAGACCGAUGCGGGCAGGGGGAUGCAGAGGGAAGCGGGGAUGGAGAGAUGGGGGACAGAGAGAUGCAGGGUGUCAGGUAUGCGGUCCUGGGCAGGGGUGCAAAGUGUCAGAGAAAUGGAGGAUUAGGAGGUCUGAGGUGUAGAGACCCAGGAAAAAGGGGCUGGGAGAGGGAGAAAGAGAGGGGGCGGAGGAGAGUCCCUAGGAGACAAGGGAGCUGGGGAGGGGCCAAGACCUCUGCUCACCAUUCAAUCCCCUCCUUCCAGGAGGCCACUGGCCAACUUUCCCUGUCCUAGAUCUGGGGGUCCGUGCUCCCACCCCCACCCCUGCAUCCCUUACCCCAGCCUUACCUUUUCAUGACCCUGUUCUGUGGGGGGUAUUGCGGGGGGUCAGGACCGGAACCCAGAGUCCAGCGACCCGAAGAUUCCGCGGAGGGCUCAGGGAGCCGCUGGGGGCCCAGGCCCUGGGGCGGCGGCGGCGGCGGCGGCGGCAGCGGAGGCGCGGCGGCGUUGGUGGUGGGGACCUCCUGGCUGUCCCUGGCUCCGGCUGGCUCUCUCUCCUCGUCUUCGGCCCCGUCCUGCCCUGUCUGUCCCCCAAGGUUGCGGCCACCCCAACUAGGCGAGGACGCCGCUACACAUGUUGCUCUGGAAGUUGGGCCCCGGACAUUGCGGAGGCUGUCGGGGGGGAGGGUGUCCUCUCGCCGCCCCGACCCCGUGGGGAUCCCCCCUCCGCCCACCUGGGGUGCCCCCCUCCGCCGCUUCAGCCCCGGCUCCUCCCCCCUUCCAUGUGUCCGGUCCUGCCUCUCCCUGGCUCCUUCUCACCCCCACCCUUUGUGCCCUCAGCGCUCCCCCCCCUCCAGCGUCUGUGUCUGUCUGUCUGUCUGUCUGGGUCACCUCUGAAGCCGGUGGCUGGGGUGUGUGUGUAUGUGUGAGGGGCGGGAGGCUGGCGGUCUGGGGAGCUGCUCGCCCCUUCCUCGCUUGGCCACCUCCAGACCCUCCCCCCGCACCCCCACACUCAAACCGAGGCAGAAACACACACAUACACACACGCACACACGCACGACCUCACUUCCCUGGGAUUCCCCCUCAACACCCCCGGAGCUUGAGGAGGGAGGCACACACACGCACACAGGGGGGGUCCAAUGGGGGCCGGGCUGCCACUGCCGUCCGGGGCUGUUUGGACAGACAGGAGGACACAGGCAGCGGGGACGCAGGCAGCGGGGACGCCAGACGCCGGGCCGGACGCAGGCAGGAGGCACAGAGCCCAGGUGGGUUGGAGCUGGAGGCCCCUGAAAAGGCCAGCGUCGGGGUCCUUGUCUAG